GACGAACGCUGGCGGCGUGCUUAACACAUGCAAGUCGAACGGAAAGGCCCUGCUUUUGUGGGGUGCUCGAGUGGCGAACGGGUGAGUAACACGUGAGUAACCUGCCCUUGACUUUGGGAUAACUUCAGGAAACUGGGGCUAAUACCGGAUAGGAGCUCCUGCUGCAUGGUGGGGGUUGGAAAGUUUCGGCGGUUGGGGAUGGACUCGCGGCUUAUCAGCUUGUUGGUGGGGUAGUGGCUUACCAAGGCUUUGACGGGUAGCCGGCCUGAGAGGGUGACCGGCCACAUUGGGACUGGGAUACGGCCCAGACUCCUACGGGAGGCAGCAGUGGGGAAUAUUGCACAAUGGGCGGAAGCCUGAUGCAGCAACGCCGCGUGCGGGAUGACGGCCUUCGGGUUGUAAACCGCUUUCGCCUGUGACGAAGCGUGAGUGACGGUAAUGGGUAAAGAAGCUCCGGCUAUCUACGUG
rnacentral:rRNA from 1 species